rnacentral:pre_miRNA from 1 species
AAAGUACUCGCUCCGUCCCAAAAUUCUUGUCUUAGAUUUGUCUAGAUACGGAUGUAUCAAGUCACAUUUUAGUAUUAGAUACAUCCGUAUCUAGACAAAUCUAAGACAAGAAAUUUGGGACAGAGGGAGUAGUUG